rnacentral:rRNA from 1 species
UACGAAGGGUGCAAGCGUUACUCGGAAUUACUGGGCGUAAAGCGUGCGUAGGUGGUGAGUUAAGUCUGUCGUGAAAGCCCCGGGCUCAACCUGGGAAUGGCGAUGGAUACUGGCUCGCUAGAGUGCGGUAGAGGAGAGUGGAAUUCCCGGUGUAGCAGUGAAAUGCGUAGAGAUCAGGCGGAACACCCGUAGCGAAGGCGGCCAGCUGGGCCGUCCCUGACACUGAGGCGCGAAGGCGUGGGGAGCGAACGGG